rnacentral:rRNA from 1 species
UAGGGAAUAUUGCUUAAUGGGCGAAAGCCUGAAGCAGCAACGCCGCGUGUGAAGAAGGCCUUCGGGUUGUGAAACACUUUUUGAGGGAAUGAGGAAGGACAGUACCCUCAGAAUAAGCCUCGGCUAACUACGUGCCAGCAGCCGCGGUAAAACGUAGGAGGCGAGCGUUAUCCGGAUUUACUGGGCGUAAAGCGCGUGCAGGCGGCACGGCAAGUUGGAUGUGAAAGCUCCCGGCUUAACUGGGAGAGGUCGUUCAAAACUGCCGAGCUAGAGUGCGGGAGAGGGAGGUGGAAUUCCGGGUGUAGUGGUGAAAUGCGUAGAUAUCCGGAGGAACACCAGUGGCGAAAGCGGCCUCCUGGUCCGCAACUGACGCUCAGACGCGAAAGCUAGGGUAGCAAACGG